AAGAAGAUGACAUAGAUGGGGGGGUUGGGGGGGGUAGGAAAUUUCUGUAGUUGAAGGACAACGGUGGUUUUUCAGACCACAGGUCUUGGAUUACAGGCCGAGCAGGAAUU
rnacentral:tRNA from 1 species